GACUUUAUGGUCGAGUGGUAAGGACACUUGCCGCUCAUCUUGGAGUCCCGGGUUCGAUCCCCGGUCGAGGAGCU
rnacentral:tRNA from 1 species